AGUGAACGCUGGCGGUAGGCCUAACACAUGCAAGUCGAACGGCAGCACAGUAAGAGCUUGCUCUUACGGGUGGCGAGUGGCGGACGGGUGAGGAAUACAUCGGAAUCUACUUUUUCGUGGGGGAUAACGUAGGGAAACUUACGCUAAUACCGCAUACGACCUACGGGUGAAAGCAGGGGAUCUUCGGACCUUGCGCGAUUGAAUGAGCCGAUGUCGGAUUAGCUAGUUGGCGGGGUAAAGGCCCACCAAGGCGACGAUCCGUAGCUGGUCUGAGAGGAUGAUCAGCCACACUGGAACUGAGACACGGUCCAGAGUCCUACGGGAGGGAGCAGAGGGGAAUAUUGGACAAUAGGCGCAAGCCUGAUCCAGCCAUACCGCGUGGGUGAAGAAGGCCUUCGGGUUGUAAAGCCCUUUUGUUGGGAAAGAAAAGCAGCAGGUUAAUACCCCGCUGUUCUGACGGUACCCAAAGAAUAAGCACCGGCUAACUUCGUG
rnacentral:rRNA from 1 species